rnacentral:rRNA from 1 species
GGGCGAAAGCCUGACGGAGCAACGCCGCGUGAGUGAUGACGGCCUUGGGUUGUAAAACUCUGUGAUCCGGGACGAAAAGGCAGAGUGCGAAGAACAAACUGCAUUGACGGUACCGGAAAAGCAAGCCACGGCUAACUACGUGCCAGCAGCCGCGGUAAUACGUAGGUGGCAAGCGUUGUCCGGAAUUAUUGGGCGUAAAGCGCGCGCAGGCGGCUUCCCAAGUCCCUCUUAAAAGUGCGGGGCUUAACCCCGUGAUGGGAAGGAAACUGGGAAGCUGGAGUAUCGGAGAGGAAAGUGGAAUUCCUAGUGUAGCGGUGAAAUGCGUAGAGAUUAGGAAGAACACCGGUGGCGAAGGCGACUUUCUGGACGAAAACUGACGCUGAGGCGCGAAAGCGUGGGGAGCAAACAGGAUUAGAUACCCUGGUAGUCCACGCCGUAAACGAUGGAUACUAGGUGUAGGAGGUAUCGACCCCUCCUGUGCCGGAGUCAACGCAAUAAGUAUCCCGCCUGGGAAGUACGAUCGCAA